rnacentral:rRNA from 1 species
AGAGUUUGAUCCUGGCUCAGAACGAACGCUGGUGGCGUGUCUUAUACAUGCAAGUCGAGCGGUGCAGCAAUGCAUAGCGGCGAACGGGUGAGUAACACGUAAGCAAUCUGCCCCCUACUUGGGAAUAGCCGUGCCAACGCGCGGAUAAUACCGAAUAUCGUGGCGUCCCGCAUGGGACGUUGACGAAAGAUUUAUCGGUAGGGGAUGAGCUUGCGUCCGAUUAGCUAGUUGGCGGGGUAACGGCCCACCAAGGCGAUGACGGGUAGCCGGUCUGAGAGGAUGUCCGGCCACACUGGAACUGAGACACGGUCCAGACACCUACGGGUGGCAGCAGUCGAGAAUCAUUCACAAUGGGGGCAACCCCGAUGGUGCGACGCCGCGUGGGGGAGGAAGGUCUUCGGAUUGUAAACCCCUGUCAUGUGGGAGCAAGGCGCAAGCUUGAUAGUACCACAAGAGGAAGAGACGGCAAACUCUGUGCCAGCAGCCGCGGUAAUACAGAGGUCUCAAGCGUUGUUCGGAAUCACUGGGCGUAAAGGGUACGUAGGCUGCCGUAUAAGUCGUGCGUGAAAGGCAGGGGCUCAACCUCUGGAGUGCGCAUGAUACUGUAUGGCUGGAGUAAUGGAGGGGGAACUGGAAUUCUUGGUGUAGCAGGGAAAUGGCGUAGAUUAUCAAGAAGAAGAAUCGUGGGCGAAGGCGGGUUCUUGGACAUUCAUUGACGCUGAGGUUCGAAGGCCGGGGGAGCGAAAGGGAUUAGAUACCCCUGUAGUCCCGGCAGUAAACGGUGCACGCUUGGUGUGCGGGGAAUCGACCCCCUGCGUGCCGAAGCAAACGCGAUAAGCGUGCCGCCUGGGGAGUACGGUCGCAAGAUUAAAACUCAAAGAAAUUGACGGGGACCCGCACAAGCGGUGGAGUAUGUGGCUUAAUUCGAUGCAACGCGAAGAACCUUACCAAGGCUUGACAUCCCGUGACAGCCUGUGAAAGCAGGUUUUUUCUUCGGAAACACGGAGACAGGUGCUGCAUGGCCGUCGUCAGCUCGUGUCGUGAGAUGUUUGGUUAAGUCCAGCAACGAGCGCAACCCCUGCCGCCAGUUACCAGCAUUAAGUUGGGGACUCUGGCGGGACUGCCCAGAUCAACUGGGAGGAAGGUGGGGACGACGUCAGGUCAGUAUGGCCCUUAUGCCUUGGGCUGCACACGUACUACAAUGCCCAGUACAGAGGGAAGCGAGCGUGCGAGCGCAAGCGGAUCCCGAAAAGUGGGCCCAGUUCGGAUUGGAGGCUGCAACCCGCCUCCAUGAAGCCGGAAUCGCUAGUAAUGGCGCAUCAGCUACGGCGCCGUGAAUACGAUCCCGGGUCUUGUACUCACCGCCGGUCA